GAGGUGAAACGUCUUCAAGAUGUCCAGCUGCCUUUGGAAUCGAGCAUCGGUUUACCUCGACCUGGAUGACUGAGACCCGACACAGACAUCUUGCAGUGAAAGCAGGCAGCUCUCUGUUUCUCACCACACAUUAUUAUUUCUUCGGCGAUGUGAGAAGCCUGACUCAUCAGCUUGGCCUUUAAAAAGUUUGUUCACAAGACGGAUCGAGAUGAUCAAACUCAGGUCAGUAUUCACUCUAAAUAUUUUCUGGCUGUGUUUAAAUAAAAGCAUGAAUCAUUACGGACUGUUUCAGGAAAGUUUGUCCUCAAAAAAAAAAAAAAUCCACACCAACACGAUUUAUCUUAAGAUCCUAUUUAUUUGUAGUGCAAAAGUGGAACAGACAGGACUACAAAUGUUUGACUUGCCUCUGAUUCCCUGUGUGACGAAUGCUACGCUAUCAUCUACAAACCCCAUCGUAUAUGAUACAAACACAAAGUACUACUUCACCCU